UUCUGUUUACCAUAAAACUGAAGCUUCUGUUUCUCAGAAUUGAGCUGCACCUCACCCCAUGAAAAUGGAAUGGUUAUGACCCACGGUAUUAUCUAUGUGAAGAUCAAAACGUUCACUGGCAUUGAGAGUGCCUCAGCUGCGAUUCAUGACCCAUCAUUGAAGAUGUAAAAAGGAGCUGCCUCGUCUCCCUCAAUGGGAGCAGCUGGAUCUUAUCCUCCUCAUUACUCUUUCUGUUCUGCCCCCGUCCCUGCCUCUUAUUCUUCCUCGCUUCAUUUACCCACCAUCCCAGUGAAAGAUACACUUCCGUUUGACGUGCUGUAUGUACUUACUGCAACAGGCGGCAUGCUGGAAAGCUUCAUUUGUCUGGCCUCGGUCCUCUUCCUGAACCGUGAAAAGCCACCCAGUGUAACACAACUGAAGCCCCAAUCUUCACCUUAAGUCAUGACCAAUGGUACGGGAGCCACAUUCAUCUUCAGCUGUUAAUCCUGCCCUUGGGGAGCUGCAUUUCUAGUGCAUUCUUUUGCUUAUAGAUCCCAAAAUAGCUUUUAUUCUACACUGUUAUGCUGCAUAGAAGGAAUUUGAAAUUAGGUAUUAUUUGAGAACAAAAUGUUUCUGGAAUCACAGUGCUUUGUAUCUGUAUUGUUUGAUGUUUGAAAAGCAUGGAGUUUUCUCUUAUGAUGAACUAAAGAUGCUUUAUUUUUCACAUUUUUUAUGUGUGCCCAUUUUCUUCCUUCCUCUCUUCCUUCAUUUUCCACCCUCCUUGUUUUAGCAAACCAUUUAUAACAAAUUUGCCUAAAGCAAGGUGUAUUUCCCUAAAAUAGGAAAAACUGCAGAACGGUUCCUGUGCAUACCCUGGUAAAAGCUCUCUCUCUAGUUCCGGCUCCCGCAGGCCAUUGGAGCUAGCGCUAAAUUAUCUCAGUGAGUCCACGCUGCCCCCAAGUACUCUCUGACCCAGCGGUUUGUGAGCCAUUCCAACACAGAUCCCUGCCAGCCGCCGCCUCGCCUUACUCACAGCUCCUUUGGCAGGUCGCUGCCAUGCCAGUUCCAUAAAGAGACAGCUUGUCUCAUGGCUCUCUUACUGUGCACUCAAUUAAGUCGCCACAUGAAAGA
rnacentral:sRNA from 1 species